AUGCUCCUGGUCACGCGCACAACAGAGGUAAGGCUCAUCAUCAUAGAUGUACCGGCCUCCGCCAUCGGCGACCCCUGGCCUUGGACCGGAGCAAGGGAAGAAAGCCUCCGAAUGGGGGUGAAAAUGGCCACAUCGACCAAUGGCUCCAGCGGGCGCGCAAAAACCGCGCGCGCGGCAUAUGUAGUUCGGCGCGCGGGCCGAAACUCCACCGCGCGCCGCUUAUUUGCUGCGCCCGCUCCCGCGCGCGCUCUUGCUCGCAACUCCCCCUCCCCCUCCAGCCGCGGCGCCGCCGCCGCCCGCUCCACCCGGCGACCGUUUCGGCGCUUCCCUGGCCUAUCUUCGCGCCGCGGCGGCUUCCUCCGCCCCCCUCUAGUCACCGCCGCCCCUCGCGCGCGUCCAUCCUCUGACGAACAACGCCCGGGCGCUCGGCGCCCGCAAGAGUUGCGCGCGCUGCAUUUUAGCGCGACUGCUGGAGCCAGCGCUGCCCGCGCGCGGCGCGUCGGCGGCUGUCGGAGAUGCUCUCAGCUCUCAUACGCAGUCACACCAACGUCGUCGUCUCGAGGGAGGAGUGGGUGGGAGGAGAAGAAGGCAGCGGAUCGAUCCGGCCGAACUAGCUGCCAGAAGGAUGGGUCACCGUCGUCCCCAACCCCAUGGCUCACCACCCGCCUCAGCUCACUCUCUGACACCGCUCGCUGCAUGAUCUGGGCUGCUCGGGGGAGGAGUUGUUUCCCGAGUUGUGCUCGCCACCGGGACCGACGGAUCCAGGCUUCCAUCGAGCUCACGCUACAUGCCCACACCCACGACGGCGAGGCGCUCCAUGCCUGGGCGCGCUCAAAGUGCGGCGCCGCCUCCCACGCGCCCGUCUCCAACUCCCUCAUCACCUUCCAUUCCUCCCUCCCGCGGCCCCUCGUCCCCGCGACCCUGGUCGUCUUCGCGGACAUCCCCGCCGUCGCCCGCGACGUCGCCUCGUGGAACUUCCUGCUCAACCCACUCUCGCACGCUCCGCGUCUGCUGGAGCCGCUGCCCACACUCUCGCUUGCAAGGCCCCCUCGGCUAGCUCCAAUGUGGUCGUGUCCACAGCUCUGCUCAACAAUAACUGCAAACUGGACCUUUAUCCCCGAAGCCCGCAGAGUGUUUGACGAAAUGCUGCUGCGAAAUGAGUUCUCAUGGGCCGCCAAGGUGAUGCUUCACGAGUACCCAUCACAGAAAAAACAAGUUUGUGGCCACAACAGUUCUUGGCAUGCAUUACAUGUGUUUGCGUCGUCUAAGGAGAGGAACUCCAUCACUUGGUCUGCGGUGAUCACUGGAUGCUUACUGAAGGGUUUUCACCAAAAUGGGGAGCACGAGGAAGCCUUGAGGUUGUAUGCCAGGAUGGACAAGGAGGGCAUCACUCUGACUAACUUGACUACGUCCAUCGCGCGGCGCGGCUACCCGUCGCUGAUCUGUCAUCGGCGCCGUUCUUCCGCUCGAUGCAUCUGUCGUCCACGUGCUCCUCCUAAAGUUCCUCCUCGCCACCACGGGUGGACGUCGGUGAGGCUGGCCUUCCCUCCAUGCGCAAGGCAUGUUAUCUUCUCAUGCUGCUGCAGCAACUUCUUGAUGAAUUGUGACUUGAGACACCUCCCUGCGCAUUACCAUCAGUAUUUACAAGAAAAUGAGGUGAAAGCUAAUACAGUUGGAAGCUACCCUAUGAAUAAUGGAGGAUGCACCAGCAGGAAAGCGAAGGGAAAUUUUCAGAGAUUCAAGCAUGAUACUCUGCAUGCGACCAUAUCUUAUGGCUUGGUGAUUGAACUACUGCAUAUGUCCUCCAUACUCGUGAGCAAAAGCUCUGUUAACAAAUUCAGUGGAUACGAGCAUGGCCUUGCCAUCGUUGGGUUUGGUGUUACACUGCAGUUUGUUGUUGAUGUGGUAGAUAACUGUGCUAUCUUACAAAUUCAGCUGUAG
rnacentral:rRNA from 1 species